UCCAUAGCUUGCUUUUGGGGAGUGUAUUAGUUUGCUCUCAUGCUGCUAAUAAAGACAUAUGUGAGAAUGGGUAAUUUAUAAAGGGCAGAGGCUUAAUUGACUCACAGUUCAGCAUGGCUGGGGAGGCCUCAGGAAACUUACAAUCACGGCAGAAGGGGAAGCAAACAUGUUCUUUUUCACAUGGCAGCAGCAAGAAGUGCAGAGCAAAGCAGGGGAAAAGCCCUUUAUAAAACCAUGAGAUCUUGUGAGAACUCACUAUCAUGAGAACAGCAUGGAGGUAACCAACCCCAUGAUUCAAUUACCUUCCAUCGGGUCCCUCCCAUGACACGUGGAGAUUAGGGAACUACAAUUCAAGAUGUGAUUUGGGUGGGGACAUGGCCAAACCAUAUCAGAUGUACAGACGCCAAGAGGAAUCUGAGACCAGAGUGGUGAAGUGAUUUACCCAACAUUGUCUACCUGGGUGUCAGCACAGCCUGAGCUCAGACUUCCCUGCGUGGUUCCAUCGUUUAGUCAACAAAUAUUUAUUGAUUGCCUACAACAUCACACAGACCAUUUAGAGAUUGGAUCUCGCUAUGCUGCCAAGGCUGGUUGCAAACUCCUGGCCUCAAGUGAUCCUCCCACCUUGACCUCCCAAUGUGCUGUGAUUAUAGGUGUGCAUCACUGCACCUGGCAUUGAUUCAGUAGACUUUGAAUAAAGCAGAUUAUUCCCCAAAAUGUGAGUGGGCCUCAUUCAAUCGGUUGACAACAUUGAGAAAAAAAAAGGUCCCUCAAGGAAGAAGUUCUGCCUCCAGACAAUCUUCAGGCU
rnacentral:lncRNA from 1 species